UAGCUUGCUAAGGGGAUUAGUGGCGAACGGGUGAGUAAUAUAUCGGAANGUGCCUUGUAAUGGGGGAUAACUAGUCGAAAGAUUAGCUAAUACCNNNNNCGCCCUGAGGGGGAAAGUAGGGGAUCUUCGGACCUUACGUUAUAAGAGCGGCCGAUAUCUGAUUAGCUAGUUGGUGGGGUAAUGGCCUACCAAGGCAUCGAUCAGUAGCUGGUCUGAGAGGACGACCAGCCACACUGGAACUGAGACACGGUCCAGACUCCUACGGGAGGCAGCAGUGGGGAAUUUUGGACAAUGGGCGCAAGCCUGAUCCAGCCAUUCCGCGUGAGUGAAGAAGGCCUUCGGGUUGUAAAGCUCUUUCGCAAGGGAAGAAAACUUACAUUCUAAUAAAGUGUGAGGCUGACGGUACCUUGAUAAGAAGCACCGGCUAACUACGUGCCAGCAGCCGCGGUAAUACGUAGGGUGCGAGCGUUAAUCGGAAUUACUGGGCGUAAAGCGUGCGCAGGCGGUUUGGCAAGUCAGAUGUGAAAUCCCCGAGCUCAACUUGGGAACUGCGUUUGAAACUGCCAGACUAGAAUAUGUCAGAGGGGGGUAGAAUUCCACGUGUAGCAGUGAAAUGCGUAGAGAUGUGGAGGAAUACCAAUGGCGAAGGCAGCCCCCUGGGAUAAUAUUGACGCUCAUGCACGAAAGCGUGGGGAGCAAACAGGAUUAGAUACCCUGGUAGUCCACGCCCUAAACGAUGUCUACUAGUUGUUGGUGGAGUAAAAUCCAUGAGUAACGCAGCUAACGCGUGAAGUAGNNNNNNUGGGGAGUACGGUCGCAAGAU
rnacentral:rRNA from 1 species